AUGGUUUUGCUUUGUUCUCUAAUAUGUGUGAGUUUUGGGAAUGUCAUCACACCAGUCCAAACUAAGAUGUCUGGCACAGAGGGGGACAAUAUAACUCUGUCCUGUAGCUACUCCUCUGCAGUUAGUCUACAGUGGUAUCGCCAAUAUCCCAACUCAGCUCCUGAAUACCUUUUAGUCAUAUUUCAUGCUACAGGGAAGGUUUCUCAAAAGUCCAAAAUUGUAGAUCUAGAUCCCAGAUUCUCUGGAAAAGUGAAUGACAAGAAAACCCAUGUGGAUCUGGAGAUCUCCUCUGCUAAACUGACAGACUCUGCGAUGUACUACUGUGCCCUGGAGCCCACAGUGACAGGAAACUGA